rnacentral:lncRNA from 1 species
CUAAUCUAUCUUAUUUAUUUAAGUUCUAGUUUUAAACUAACAAAUAACCUGAAAAAUAAAAACACACACGCUUAUUAUGUAAAACAUCAUAAUUUUACUAUUAGAUAUUUAAUGUAAUAUAUACAACUCAAAAUACAUAUAAAUGUAUCUCAUAGCCUAUAUUCUUUAAAACAUUGGCUGGCCUAAGGCCCAUACCAUCUCGUCCGGCUAUGCUAUCGGAAUCAUCUCCAUCACAUCGCCUCUUUAUUUGAGGAUGCGAUGCAAUAUGAUCGUCAGGAAGGCUAGCAGGCUCAGUAGAAGUGGGCGUUGGGAUAUCAUAACCUACAAAAUAAUAAGAUAUUUUAGUAUAUGAAAUAUAGAAUACUAACUUACGUGUUAGCAAAAAAAAUUAAUGGUCUAACCACGGUCUCAGCGGGCUCAUGAAUAAGAUCAUCCAUCUCCGGUAAGCGAGUAUCGCACAAUGUGGCCUCUGUUAUAGGUGAUGACGAAAUAUUUAAAAAAUAUAAAUAAUUUAGAUAUUACUGACUAAUAUAUAAGAUAAAAUAAAUUGAAGUAAUAGUAAUACAAAUAAACCGGCACCUAAGUAGGCACACAAUGCUCGGUAGGGACUUUGAGGUGCACUGGAGUAGAUGAAGGUUAAAACAUCUCGACCUGAUGUGAUGUCUACCUAUAUGUACAUGAAAGAUCCUCAGCAGCCCUCGAUGAAAAGCCAUAACUCAAGCUUCGACCUUUAUGCACCUCUCGUAUCAGACAAUCAACAGCAACCCUCGAUGGCUCUAGACGACUAGGAAAAUAGUGAUCCCAAUCAUACUGUGUAAUGGCGGUGCCUGCGAUCAAAACUAGAGCUGACAAGGUAACCUGUGAAGUCCGUGGUGACAGCUAAAGGCUAAAUGAUAGAAUACCAUGAUAAGCAUUGUGUGGCUCAGGGUAGUCACCCGGAUGAUCCUCUCCAAUAUCCUCCAAGGGUGCCUCAACGCCCCUUUUCCGGGGACCUCAUCCUUGAAGACCACCACGACCACGUAGGCCACCCCUUCUCUGGCCAUACAUGCCAUGUCUAACAUGUACUAGGGCCACGUGUGGCCCAUGAUGGUACUCCUCAGGCAGCACAUAAGCAACCUCGUAACCUAACCGCGCAUCCUCUUGGGCAGCUCUCAAUAUGUAAGAAGCAAGAUCAGCAACCCGACGACCAAACCCGUGCACAACUAUCGCUCUGUCGCCUGUAAGUUGUAGCAUCUCCAGUCCCAACUGGUAGAAAUGGUGUAAACCAGUAGCUUGCAUAGGAUACAAAAUAUUUAUUAAGGAAGGAUGUUAAAGUAAUGUAACAUGAUAAGUAACUAUACCAAAUAACAUACUAGUGCACCAUGUCUCCCGGCGUAUAGAACGUACCGACCACCAUUGCGAUGAACGGGAUUCCAGAUUAGAAGGCGAGUUAUGCGGCGAUACCAAACCAUGUACUCAUGUUCCCCGUCAAUAUGGAGGGUAUGGCAAAAUCAGGCCAUAUCUCUUAUCCCAAUCCUCUAUUUGGGCCUCUAGCCAGUCCAAGUAUGUCUGGUCGACCUUGCUACGAUCAUCCACUCGUAAUGUGUGGAAUGCUAACUAGGCAGAAUAGGUAUAAGCUUGCGUCGACCAAAUAGUCGAAGGACUCGCUCGGUGGCAUAUUAAUCACCUAUAUCGAGACAUAUAAGUGGGACUAAAGACAUCCACAUAGCUCGAACGUGAGAGCAUCUGGCAAUCCAGCGAUAAGCUCGUCACUGUAUGGCCUCCAUAUGGACUAUUUAUUAAACAAGAAUCAUGAGUAAACGCAAGACAGAUCAAGCAUUUUCAAACAAACUUAGUCAUACAUUUACCUUAGCGUCUUCAAGUAAAUCCAACAAAUCCCUAUAAUAAAGGAGAUGAUGUCUAGCCUCGACCUCGCGGGAGCGGACUCGCCUAUCUACCUACCUCCUAGCAAGUGGUAGAAAAGGUAGAGGUGGUGCAUCUGGAGCUAUUGGUAGGAGAGGUGGAUGGAUUUGCAUGAACCGCUCCCAAGCCCAAACCUAUUAUUGAUUGUGGACAUAAAAUUUAAGUUAUUUUGUACUAUCUCUGUUAUAAUCAUGAAAGAAUUGAUAAUGUUAUCAAAUGUAGUAGUGGUAUAAAACUGGCAACAUCUCUAAUGGUGCCCAUGGAUGACUAGUACAACUACCUAUAAAGGUAGGCUAGAACAGCUCCACCCUUGUUGUAAGUAGGUAACUCAUCUAGCCACUCCAGAUGAUGUAGAAAUCGCAAACUAACGAGGUUUCCUGAAGUGUUGAGGAAUAGAAUACCACCAAACAUCAUCAGUAGCAAUAGCCUCGUCUACCGCUCGAUAGCCUCUACCGGUAAGUCAUCAGUAAUCUCCACAUGCAAUGCCACCAGAUGUUGCCUAACGGGCUAUAACUACAAUCGACCAACACUACUCAUAGUAGUUGGCUCCGUGGGAUGGAAACCUAUGAGCCUCUACAACAUAUGUAUAUAGUCUUCUCUCGUAUAAUCCCUAAGAGCUUGUAGGUAGCUGACAACCAUACCAUCAACGGGCAACCUUAAUAGAACCUCCACGUUCUCUAGUAUGAUGGUAGCCUCGCCGAUAGGUAGAUGAAAUGUGUGAGUCUGAGGUCACCACCGCUCUAUCAUAGUCGUGAUCAGAGGCCAAUCAAACUACAACUGGCCGAUCUCUAUAAUCUGGUAAAACCCCAUCUGCUCAAGGCGUGUAACUGUAUGGGUGGUCCCUAAUGAACUCUCAAAGAUCUUCUAUACAUCUAGGGUGGAAGGUCUGGGACAGCAAAUGUCCAUCCCAUAUGUGUGAAGACCUACGACCACUUUGGAGCAACAGCAGCUCUCGAACAACAGGUCCAGGAUGCACAGGUGGAGGAUCUAUGACGAUGUCUGUAAAGUAAAUAAUAUUAAUUAAAGUAUUUUUCUCUUUAAUCGUUUAACAUGUUUAAAUACAUUGUGAUAUUUUUUAUAUUAAUAUUUAAUCGAUAAAUUUUCUAUAUUAUCACUUCGGGUGAUAAAUAAAACAAUUAUUUAUAUGUUAGUUUCUUCGAUUUUUUGACUAAAAUUCGGUAGGAUUAUGUUUACUUUUCUUAACUAAUCACGAUAUUUUUAAUAAUUAUUCAUAUAAAAAUACUAAAAAGUUAAUACUAAAUAAUAUUCAAUAUAUUUAAGAAGUCACAUAUCCAGAAGAUGAAGGUAGCAGAAAUGAGGAUGUUGAGGUGGAUGUGCGGGCAUACUAGGAUGGAUAAGAUUAGGAAUGAUGAUAUUCGGGAGAAGGUGUGCGUGGCCCCUAUGGAUGACAAGAUUUGGGAAGCGCAGCUCAAAUGGUUCGGGCAUGUAACGACCCGGCCGGUCAUUUUGGAUUGGAGUGAUGUGGGAUCACCCGCGAGUGUAUGUUGGAAGUGUGCACUCAGUAACGACCCGGCUGGUCGUUUUGAGAAAUUAAGCUCUAUCCGGAGGCGUAAGGUCUGGAGCAGCUUCAUAUUAUGGGUAUCGACUUGCGGCAUGGUUGAAUUCACUUAACAGAUAAUUCAGAGUCAAAUUGGAAGAAGGAAUCUAGUUUUGGAAGUUUAAACGGUGAGAAUUUGAUCAGAAUUGGAAUUUUGAGUAAACGGCCCUGGAAUGGAUUUUGGAUGAUCUCAACAGCUUCGUAUGGUGAUUUUGGACUUGGGCAUGCAUCCCAAUUUUGGAUUUGGAGGUCCGUAGGGUAAUUUGAGGCGUUUCAGCGAAAGUUGGAAAAGUUGAAGCUUGGAAAGUGGAGAAGUUUGACCCAUAGUUGACUUUUGUGAUAUCGGAGUUGGAAUGCGAUUUCGAGAGUUGGAACGGCUCCGUUAUGUCAUUUUGGACUUGUCUGCAAAAUUUGGCGUCACUUCGGGUUGAUUUGAUAGGUUUCGGCACAAGUUUUCAAAGUUGGAAGAUUUGGAAGUUCAUAGUUCGAUUCAUGGUGUGAUUCUUCUUUUCGGCAUUGUUUCAUAUGAUUUGAGACCUCGAGCAAGUCUGUGUUAGGUUAUAUGACUUGUUUGUGUGUUUAGAUGGGGUCCCGGGGCACUCGGGUGUGUUUCAGGUGUGUUUCGGAUAAGGGCGUCCAUUCGAAUCGGUUUAUCGAUAAAUCGAAUCGAUUAUUUGUUGACUUAUGGAGCUCAGUUUUUAGCGAUUCCUUGAGGGUUUUUCAUACAAAUCGAUUGGGUAAGUGUUCUUCAUCUAGAAUCUAACAUAUUCCAUGAUUUUAUCUUCAUUUUCAUCAUUUAAUUUGUGUUUUGGGUUGGGAAAAAUGUUAGUUUUUGAAGAAAAUUCCUAAAAUGAAAAAUCAUGAUUUGAGGGACCAAAUGGUAUCAAAAUUUGAUAAAUUUAGUAUGGUUGAACUCGUAUCGGAAUGGGUAUUCGAUUUUUAUAAAAUUUGUCGGGUUCCAAGGUGUGGGCCCAGGAGGUCGACUUUUGGACUGAUUUUUGGAUUUUGUUAAAGAUUGAGACUUCAUGAUCCGGAAUAGUUUCUUAUGUGUUUUAUUUGUGCUUUGAAGUUAAUUUGGUUAGAUUUGAGCUGUCUGGAGGUCUUUUCACUCGAGAAGUGCAUUUUAGAGUAUCGGUUUGUUGUCUUUGAGGUAAGUAUCUUGCCUAACCUUGUGUGGGGGACUUCCCCUUAGGAUUUGAGUCUGCUAUGUUGAUUGUAGUUCAUGUACGCGAGGUGACGAGUGCAUGCUCGGACUUAUUUGUGGAAAAAUUGGCUUUUUAGGGUUCUUAGGUCCUUAUAUUCACUGUGUAUGAAUGUGUACUUGAUAUGCGUGAGUUUUCCACUUACUAGUUUCACGUCUACAUACUCUAAUUGGAAUUAGUUGCUUAUGAUUUAUUCUUAUUGCCUAUUUGACUCUUAUUUUGCUUAACUAAAGAUUUUUACCUCUUUUAUUGUCAUGCUAUCUUUCAUAACUGCUCGUCUUUAUUGGAAAUCAUUAUUAUCUCCCCUGUAAUUGUUUAGUCUUAAUUGAGGUUAUGAUUAUCUUCCCGUUGCUCAUCCUUAAUUGAAAUUGUAGUAUAUUCUUCGUAAAUUGCCCAACCUUAAAAGAAGUUUAGAUAUCUUAUAUUUAGUUGACAUUUCCUUAUUUGGAAUUAUUUGAUUCGUGUUAGCUUCCUUGGUGUUGAAUUACAUAUUGUGGGAUCGUUGCUUCAUAUUAUUUUCUCCCUUGUUGAGUUGUUCUUAUUACGCUUAGUAUUCUCUAUUGUGGUUAUUCCUCGUGAGCUAGUUUUACCGUCUCUUUGUGAUCGAAAGUUUUUGAGUUAAUUUACUUGUCGUGUUCUUGUAUAUGUUGUCAUUGCUAUUGUUGUACUUGUUCUGGUGGUGCACGAGGUUUCUACCGUGCAGUUGUUGAUAUUGUGAUGCACGAGGUUUCUACCGUGCGGUUGUUGUUAUGGGAUUGCACAAGGUUUCUGCUGUGCUAUUGCUACUAUUGAUAUAUUGCACAUGCGGCGUGACAAGGUGGGGUAUGUAUAGAUAUGCUUAUAUGUGGGUUGCGCAUGUGGUGAGACAAGGUGGAAACAUUAUGAUGCACAUGUGGCGAAACAAGGCGGGCACUUAUUAUGUUAUUAUUUGUACACAUUGCGAGACAAGGUGGGCUAUGUCAGGGAUGAUUGUAAUGAUUUGUGAUGGCCUGGGGGCAUUCUUGUUGUUUGAUAUUUUGUUGUGGUACGCUUACUUGUAUGAGCUUUAUCUCGUGGAAGUUGUGAGGAAAUAUAUUACGUGUUGUCUGUUCUUUUCCUUAUGCUUAUUAGCUGGUAGAAACUGUGUUAAAGCACUUGCACAUGCAUACACGUAGUUGAACGCUCCUAUUGGAUGUGAAGUCCUCCUGAUUUUGCUGAGUAUAGAUGCACACCCUUGUUUACUUGUUAUAUAUGUGAGGGUAGCUCUAGUUAGCAAGUGAGUUGUCAGCAUGACCAUGAGGUGUGAUGGGGGCACAGGAUGUCAAGUGUUAGAUUUCAGGUACUGGGACUCGUGAGCUAUAAUUUGUUCGAGAUUCGGUACUUCAUGGAAAUUGUUGGAUAAGACCUGAUGUGAACAUUGUCGUAGGAUUUGAGUUAUUGCUUACCUUUACUGUAUUGUGAAUUUAGGAUUUGGGUUUAUGUUUUCGCUCGCUCUUCUAUGUCAUUAUUUUGAUAUUUCCGUUGUUACUUGUUGUUUUCUUCCUUAUUGUGAUUGUAGUAUUGUUAGCCAUUUCAUGUAGUUUUUAUAGAUACAUCAUGUUCCGUUGUUUCUAUAUUUAUACAGUUUAUUGGACCGGUAGGUGUCUUGAUUGUUCCUCGUCAUUACUCCAUCGAGGUUAGUCUUGAUACUUACUAGGCAUCGCUGUGGUGUGCUCAUGCUACUCUUCUAUACAUUUUUGUUGUGCAGAUCUAGGUAUCGAUCAUUAGUAGUUGUACGGAUCAUUGUCGAGGAGACUCAAGGUAAACUUGAUGUUGCGUUCGCAGGCUUCGGAGUCACCUUCUUACUUGUAUUCAACUAUUUUCACUCUUUUCCGAACAGUUAUAUUUAGAAGUGGUAGCUAACUCUGAAGAGCUUAUGACUUGUACUACCAGGUUUUGGGAAUUAUAAAUUUUGUAGAGAUUUCUGCUUUAAGACUGUUAAAUUUCAUUUAUUAUUGUGGUAUUUCAGUAUGAGUUAGGCUUAUCUAGUCCCUAAGACUAGGUUCCAUCAUGAUACCCAAACGGAGGGAAAGUUGGGUCAUGACAGGGCAUGUUGAGAGGAGAAGCCCAGAUGCUCCGGUAAGGAGGUGCGAACGGCUGGUUGUGGAGGGCACGAGGAAAGAUAGAGGGCGGCCUAAGAAGUAUUGGGGGGAGGUGAUCAGGCAGGAUAUGGCGAGCCUUCAGAUUUCUGAGGACAUGGCACUUGAUAGGAACAUGUGGAGGUCGAGUAUUAGGGUUGUAGGUUAGGAGGUAGUUCGGUCUUGCCUUAUGUCAUAACUUUGUGGGAUUAGUUUGGUAGGGAUACUAUUUUGCUUUUGUUGUGUAUCUUUUUUUUGGAUUUCAUGUUGUUCCUAUUUUUCUUAUUAUUUCUGUGGUAUUACUAUUGUUGUUGUUCUUAUUUAAUUCAUAUCGAUUUGUUUGUUAACUUUUAUAUUUUACACAUAAAUCUCUCAUAGUCUCUUUGUACUGUCAACUAAUUAUUUUAUAAUUCAUAUCUAAUAUUUGAUCGUCGUCUAAUAAUAUAUUUAAUAAAUACUUAAUAAUUGAUUAAUAUUUGAUCCAUAAUUAAGUACUCUAACCGGGUUAGUUGAUAAGGGCAGGUAGUUUUUAUUGUACACUAAAGAAUCCUAAAAAUCACUAAAGUUACACUACUCUAAAUGGCCAUAAACAGCAUCAACUAAUAUAAAUUAAAAUUAUUAUCAGUUCUACCAGACUAAACGACACUACAUAACAAUAAAAGGCACAACAUAACACUAAAGGACACUAAACAAUAAUAAUGUCACAUAUUUUUAUAUGAACAACAAUAAAGUCACAUAUAACACUAAUUAUUCAAUCAAAAAAUAAUAUACAAUUUUUCAUAAUUUUUUGCACAUAAAUAAACUAAUCCGGGUAAAAAAUAAAAAAUAAAUAUAUCAAAAAACGAUCACAAAAAGCAUACAAUACAGUAAAAAUAAUUAAUUAGACAAUUAUAUACAUGAGUUAUACUACAAAAGUAAUGUGGAAUACCUCUUUUUAGAGUUUUUUGAAUUGAGAAAGAAUGAAGAUUUGACCACCGAAACAGGCAAUAAAAGGGCUCCACUACACGACAACACCUUGGAUCGGGUGUUAGCUCGCUAAAAUAAUAAAGGGGCAAGAUUUUUUGGGACGGGUGGGCUCCAAUGGAGCUUUAAGGUUUAAAAUGGGGGUGGGGAACCAUUUUUGGGAUUUUGUCCCGAAGAAGACUAGCCAUUUUUUAAUACAGGUAUAGCACAUAUAUUUGAUACACUAUAUCUAUCUGUCUUUUCAACUUUAGGUAUAGCACAUCUAAUAUAUGCGUUAUAUUUGUACGUUGACCGCCCUUUGAAAAUCAGGUAUAGUGCAUGUAUUACAUGUGUUAUACCUUAACGGACAAAUGUGUCCUUAAGGUAUAGCGCAUGUAAAUCAUGUGCUAUACACAAAAUGGUCACCAUUUUUUCACCUAUUUUUGUGCUUUGAGUCCAAAAAAAUAAUACUUUGGUUCCGCACUCUCUACGUAGUGAUGACUACUUCAUCUUUUGGUUUGACUGUACUGUGAAUAGGACAAAUAAUACAAUAAUAUGCAAAGUGGCCCAUAUACAUUUAUUAAUUGGCCUUUGAUUCUGAAACAAUAGGAUCCUGAUUUCAGGAUUAGCAAUGAACCAAUUCAUUUAGGUUGUCUUCCCUAGCUUUUCCAAUUCAAUACCGGAUUGCUCAAAAUUUUAGGAGGAUAGCAGAUUCCUUAGGUAAGCUUAUCUAUACUGAUAAAUUUACAGCUCGGGGGAAUACAAUCUCAUAUGCUCGAAUGCUAAUUGAGAUAGAUAUAUCGCAAUCACUACAUAUAUAUAUAUAUUGUCACACCUUCUUUUUACCACCUGAGAGGGGGAAAUAUAGGGAGUUUUUUCUAAUUUAAGUGACAAUCAAAACGGGAUUAUUUAUAUUAUUCAGAGUCGCCACUUGGAAUAAUUUAUGGUGUCCCAAGUCACCGAUUUAAAAUCCCGAAUCGAGGAAGUUGACUCAUAUUUAUGGUCUGCGAACACAGAAAUCCGGGUAAGGAAUUCUGUUAACCCGGGAGAAGGUGUUAGGCAUUCCCGGGUUCCGUGGUUUUAGCACGGUCGCUUAACUAUUAAGAUUGGCCUAAUUAUCUGAUUAAUUACACGUUUUAAACCUACGUGCAUUGUUUUAACUUUCUAACCGCUUUUUAAUGUUUUAGGAAAAUUCAAGGUUGUUUAAAACACAUCGUAAGCCAUGCUACAUGAAAUGUACCCGCGGUUCACGACACGUUUUAUUUAACCUUAUUGGAAAUUGGAGCCGGGUCACAUGAAAUGCACACCCGGAUUUAUAACAUGUUUAUUUCUAUUAUUAUUAUUCAAAAUUAUGGUAGGGUCACAUGAAAUGCACACCCGAAUUGAGUUUUACGUAUCGCGACCAUGCCAAGGGAAUCGUACCCAUAGCCACGAUAAUUAUUAUUAAUCGUGCCAAAAGCAUCUACGAUAUUUUCAUAAGCUAAUUUUUCUGAGUUCAAGACGAUUGUAUAGGAGUCCACAGUUAUGGAGUUUAUUGUGGACAAAUGUAUGAUUUUAGCUAUUAUGAAAGUGGGCUAGUUUAUAGUAUUAUUAAUAUUUGGUCAAGUAGUAUUCAAUAGCAUAUGCCCAAAUUUUAAUAUCUUGGCUAGCCAAAUUGUCAUAUGCACCUAGUAUCAACCUGUGGUCCAAAUACUACCCUACCCCCAAAUCCCCGUCAAUCAGAAGAAUGAUUAAUAAAUGAGCACUAAAAUGCCUUAUAAAAAUAAAAGCCAUCAUGAAAAUAAUGUAAGCUAAAAUAAAAGCGCAAAUAACAAAUUCUUUUCACAUACAAGUGAAGCAAAUAAAUAAGAUACUGAAAAUAAAGAAUAAGGAUGGCCUUUGACGUCAUGUUAACAAGAAGAUUAUUCAGUGUUAUUUCAUAAAGAGUAAAGAACUUCAUUCAAACUGAUUCAUAAUUCAAAACACCAAGGAUCAUGUAUUUCAAAACAAAUACUGUAACAAAGCAAAAUCAGAAAAGCAGACCUUCAAUGCAAGAACGUGACUUUGUAGAUUUUGAAAGUCAACGACGAACCCAAAGGCGGACCUCGAACAGAACCUCAUCGGCAACCUCAAAACUUGGCCGAAACUUUUAGAGAAGUGGCUAGUUUUGCUGCAAUUCAAGGCUAGCGUCACGACUAUUUUGGAGUAGUGUUAGAAGCCGCUUUGGAGGUGGCGCUAAUAGAGGUCUUUUUGAAGGACAGUUGCUGCGUUUUUACAGCUACUUUAGAGGACAUGACAAUGGUUCAAAGAUCUAUUUUAUUGUGUUUGGUGGCAGUUCUUGAAGCUACAUUUCAGCUGGGUUUUCAAGGAGUUUGGAUGGUGUUUUGUAUGGCAAUUUGCAGUUGAUUGAUCGAGGUUGAGGCGCCACUGGCCGUUUCCUCGUCACUCUGUUAUUUUUCUAAAUCCCCUCACUCUGAUGACUUUGUUUCGUGACCCUUUUUACCUGUUCCCCUUUCUAUUUUAACUCUGUUUUCUGUCCAGGCCCCCCCUCGUCCGUUUGUGUGUUUUUCAUGUGUUCUAUGGUAGAAAAAUGGAGGAGGAUUUUAGAGGAAACGUGAAGAAGAUGGUCGCCUCUGUUUUCCGUUUUUCCUUUCUCGAUCUGUUUCUUCUCCCCCGGUUUCCUCCUCUCUUUUUUCGUUCUUUUUUUUUAAUAUUUGAAGCUCUCUAUUUUUUCUAUCUGUCUCCUCCUCUCUCUCUAUUCCUUUUUUUUCCCAACCCUCUUUGUGUGUGAGUGUCUUUG